rnacentral:sRNA from 1 species
ACCUCCGGGGGUAAGAGGUUCGACUCGAGCGAAGCGAGAGAACGUUGCGCCAGCAACGGCCCGCAGGGCGAGCCACGCAGUGGCGAGUCAUCCUCUAUCACCGGCAG